rnacentral:lncRNA from 1 species
AUGUCAACGAUCUUUAUAAAGUUGUUUGAAGCGUCUAUGAUAAACAGAGAGCAAAUUAGAAUCCAAGGAAGUUGACAUGUCAUCACUUCAUUUUUUUGCGCCUGCGCAUAAAUCUGAGAAACGUGAGUUUGUCAUCAUUUUUUAUCUAGACAUAGGAUAGGUUGUGUGAAAAUAUUACUGAUGUUUAACGUUAAAAAUGGACCAAAAGAUUAAUGCUAAACAACAUUUGACAUGUUUGAACGAACAUAAAUAGAUUAUUUACUAGGUUUUUUUAGCUUUUCGGCGUGAUUUGACCAACCCCCACGACAUUUUUUGGGGGCAUAAUGAACGCUAAGUACUUGGUGUUAUUUGGACAUAAAUUAUGAAACCACAUUUGUUCCGGACCUGGAAUGCCUUCCGGACCUGGGAUCCUGCCUUCUGAUGGAGAUAAUCAAAGGGUAAGAUGGUGAAGGGAAUGGGCAGGCUCAUGGAUCUGGUGGCCAGCACUGGAUCAAAGGUGGUCUUCACCAUGGAGCACUCAGCUAAGGUUGCAGCCCACACUUAAAGACAGCGUUCAAGUCACAAAUGGCCCCUGAUAUUGUAGCUUCCCAUGCCACUGGCGGGGACCAACAGAUGAUAAGAGACGGACCGAGACAAUCAUUGGAUUGACAGCCAUCACCAGCGAAGGAUCUCUUGGGUCCACUUCCAGCACUCACUGGGGUCCACUUAAAGACAGGCUCCGUAUGGACAGACAGCACUGUGGAGCCUAUCCCAGGCCAGCGGUAAUGCUAGCAAGCUGACUGACCCUCAGAGCACUUAGCUACAGACAGUUCAAAGAUUGGUCUCAUGCUUUAGCAGCUAGAAGAGGGUCUCAAAGGACUGUAACGAGCUGGGUCUGGACUUUGGUUAGUUUGUUUGCUUGUGUUUUCAAUCAGGUGGAUUACCUGCCAUGAAAUGCUCAAUAACAAAAGUACUGUACGCUGCCAGGAAGCACCCAGAAAAAUCUCAUUUUUAAGUCCUUACUCCAUUUUUAAUCUGUUUGUUUUGAUCUUAUACACAUGGUGGUUCACAGUAACUUUUUGUCACCCUAUUGAUGUUUUUAUCUAAUGUAUUACUUGUAUGCUGGAUUGUCCUUUAUACUCAAAUACACCCAAAUGUUUUCCUCAAGUAAUUAGUAUUAUUUUUAAUGAGUUAGGGAGCUCUGGGCCUUCUGUUUUUAUCAAUGGGGAAGUUGAGGUUGAUGAUUACCAGGCUAUUAGUAUGUUAGUUUACUACCAUGAGAUACUUCAGUAGGUUUUAUAUUUCCACCCACGGCAUUGUGAGCCUCUUCUGUGUGUGGUGGGAGGAGAGCGGUAAUAAUGGCAGGAAACAAUGACUCUCUACAGUGACAUGUUCAAGGUAAAUAAACACAGAGCUGGAGCGAGAGAGAGCGGGAGAGCCACCUGUUCAGUGAUGGAUAGUCCCUUGAACAACAACACACUACCCGAGGUCAACACUCUCUCUCUCUCUAUCUUUCUCUUUCCCCAUCUCUCUCUCUUUCUCUCCCCAUCUCUCUCUCUCUCUGUCCAUGUGUUCCUUUGUUCCUCAUCCAGAUCCUCAUCCAUGAUGUAUCAUCUCCCAGUUUCCAAACCCAACUCCCAUAGUUUCCCUCCUUCCCUGCCUCCCUUCCUUCGUCUUUCCUAUAGCCUCUAUCUCCUUUCCUCCCUACUUCCCUUCCUGCCUACCUCCCAAAGCUUUCCUUCGCUCCCUCCCUUGCUCCAUCCCGCCCUCUCUGCAUGCCUGCCUGGCGCUCUCCUCUCAAAGCUGUCGUCUCUGCUCUGCUCUGACACUGUCACACAUGUUCUUGUGUGUUUGUCUCCGUCUCUGAGGGGAAAGAUUCAGAAUCUAAUUACCAGGUUGUUUUGUAAUUAAUUUGCAGUAAACACCUAACUCAAUUAGGCAGCAAGUAUGAUUCUCCUCUCUCCUUCACCCACCAAGAUGGUGAUGAUGUUUGGAGCACUCCAACGACUUUCUCACCAGCCAAACUGUAAGGGCGAGGACCCUGGUCUUUUUCCUCUCCCUGCACAAUUAAUGCUUCGUAUUAAUUGUUGUUUCUGUUUAGUUAUGAGUGAAUACAAUUAUGUAAAGAUACUGUAGGACCAACUCUAAUGAUAACAGCAUUUCUAUUUAAUUGUGAAUAGGGAGAUUGAAGCCAGAUUCUAUUCAAGCAUUUUGUUUUAUAAUGAACACCCUCAAAGAUUUUACCAGUGAAAUACUUUUGCUGUGCUGUGAAACUGGUUAUGUUGGAAUUAUGGAAAUAAUUGCUCACCCCAAGAAAUCCCUUAAAAAUGUUCAGUGUACGAUAACAGACUUUUCGGGACCUAGUAGAACAUAUAAAUGUCAUAAGAGACAUGUCAAGUUUUCUGUAAGGCGCUAGUACAUAAGGGGCAUCUGCCAAGAGAUAGCAGUGAAUAUGCCAUCUCAUGUCAUAUGAUCCUAGUGGAGAUGUAAAUCUGCCAGGGGUUUCGAGGGAAAAUCCCUUAUAAUCUUCCUCUCACUGUGUGAAUGUCACUAAUACUGCAAAUGCUUAUACUGCACAAUUUAAACACGCUCCCCAAUCCCCCUUCCCUGAUACAUGUGUAAAUAUUGGACUAUAAAUUAUGCCUUCUUGUAUUAGACUUAUGUAUUAGAUUAUUCUAUUCUACUGAGCCAUCUACUUUAUGUUCAUAUUCUUAUAUUUUGUUAUUUCUUAUUGUUGCAUUGUCGAGAAGGAACCUGCAAGUAAGCAUUUCAUUGGACGAUGUAUACCAUAUGUAUCCUGUACUUACGACUAAUAAAACCUGAAACUUGGCAUGUUGUUUGAUGGCAAGAUAUGACAUAGACAAUUCAGACAGUUGUACCUCCAGGAGUUCCACACACUGCGUCUUGAGACUCGUCUGAAGUCGGUACAGCCCAUCUGCCAACUUCUGUCUGUAGCGUUCCGAACCAUUUGGGCUACACACUAAUAGGACCCAUCUGUGUAAAAGUGAGACGAACACGUACAUUAGGUUGUUGUGUUCUAAGGUGCCCACAAGCAUCACAAGACUCGUCUGAAGGUCCCCAGGUACCAGUUGAAAAAGUUAAUGGAAGUACAAUAUAUAUGGAGUUAAAUACAUGUCAAAAGAAUAAAAAAAAAUGUUUCCUGAUCUUUCUUAUAUUUUUCAGAUAUAGGACAGAGAAUUCAGUUGAAACCUAUUUUAGAUUUUUGGUGGGACUAUCUGUUGUUCCAUGUAGUGAAUCUGUUAUCCAAUGCAUUUGCAUGUGCUAAUAGCAGUAAGACCAAAAAUACAGUGCAUUCAGAAAGC